AAUGCAUAAAAGUAUUUUUAAAACCAAUUAAAACAAAGGACAAAAGAUAAAAUUAAAUAAAAAUAGAAAAUCAAGAAAAUAAAAUAUGGAAAAAUAAAAAUUAGAUGAAGAAAAAUAAAAUAAAAUUUUAGGAAUUAUUUUGGGAUUUUUCGGAUGAAAAAUGAAUUUACUAUGAAUUUUUAAAGAAAAAGCAAUUAAAAAUAAAAAAUAAAAAAUAAAUAAAAUCAUAAAAAACACGGAGCGUUGGAUCUGACCUCAUUAAUUGACGUAGCAGAUCCAACAAUCCUCUGGCUAGGACACACGAUGGAAAUUAGCCAAAAUAAAACACAGGAUCGAAUUCAAAAUGGACCAAUCAGAACAUUUCAAAAUGUCAACGUGUAAGCAAACUCAAAUAACUUGAGAUAACUCA
rnacentral:lncRNA from 1 species